GGCAGUGCAAGAGGGCAUGGAUUCAGGGAAAUAUGAAAAAUUGAGGCUUUAAUGCAAUCCAUCUAUCAUAAAAGGGAUGCGGUUUUCCUAGGUUGCUCCUGCUGGUCUCCGACUCCUGAGCUCAAGUAAUCCUCCUGCCUCAGCCUCCCAAAGUGCUAGGAUUGCAGGUAAAUGAUGUCUUGCUUGGGAAUAGAACCCUUGGAGCGUGUAGAUGGGAUACCACGGUCUUCCAGCUCCUAUUGCAGGUCAUCAUUAUUGCUGUCAUCAAUUGCCUGUGAGGGGCAUUGGCCUGAGGCUGUUUCCUACUCUCUCCUUGAGCCUUUAUGGAUAUAUUUUGGAUAAAUGGACCUAGACCAACAUGGCAAAAGUCUGAACACAGAGGCUAAGUUUUUCACUCAGGAACCAGCUCCAGGGUUCCUUCGUUCUUCCUGAAAGUCUUGGACCCUCAGCAUCCUUCCCUAGACUACUCUGUGGCCUAGAUUCUGGGCUGCUUUGUGUGGGAAAGCUGGUGGCAGAUCAUGGAAAGACGGCCCAUCAUAGAACCAAACACACGUGAUCACAGGCAUGACGCAAAACAAUGAAGCUUGGUACCUUCCUCUCGCCACAGGAUGUUUGCAACUGCAGCAGCAGAGAAUGAGGAAAGCAGGAGUGUGAUGGAGUCAAGGAAAAAGAAGAAAGCAGUGUUAAACCGUCACUGCAGUGAUUCCAUUUAUGAAGAUCCUGGUACCUAGUCCAUCACUUACAGAAUCUAUACCACUCAUUGCCCUAGGAACAGUAUCUUGGGGGAAGCUCUGGACAUGAACAAAUGCUUUCAGG
rnacentral:lncRNA from 1 species